GCAGGGUGUUGCUCAGGGAGUGAAAGCAGUGACUAAUUGGGAGGCAAGAAGCCAGCGCCUGCUCACCCGGUAAUAGCUCUCAGUGCAGGGCCAGAAGAGAGCACGGCCCGUGCCUGGGUUUGGGGAACUAGUAACAUCUUCUAGGAAUCGGGCCCGCUUUCCCCUGCCCCGCACACAGCUGCCUGGGUUGGGGGUAAUAAGCCCCUCUGGGAGCUGCAGCAAGUCUCUGGGAACCAGCCUGUUUUUCUACCAGUGAGGAGGAGUUUCAUUGAUUAGUCCACACCCUCUCACCUGGACCCCAGGACAGCUGCUGCCCUUGUGGUGGGAGCUGGGUCGUUGGGGAGGCCACAGUUCCCGUCCCAAUGACACAGGUGGCUGGGGUCUUUAAGAUGCUCUCAGAUCCCUCUGCAACCUGCCUGCCCUGCCCUGCCCUGCCCAGGUGGGCUCCAGCAGCCACAAUGAGGCUCAGAGAGAUUAAGGAACCUGCUCAAAGUAAUCAAGUGGAGAAGCAGAGACUGCUGGUCUGGCUCCAGCCCCCCAUCACCUG